AUUGUUUGAAAAUCACCUGCGACGCUGCCUGUGGUAAUGAAUGAGAUUCAGUGCCCGGAGCCAGUGGGGCUUCAGCCCACUGCCCACUCUCUGGUGUGAGGAGGUGAAACCCAGAGCCCUCUCAUCU